AAAAAGAAAAAACUUUCCUCGAAACAGGUUAGUUCAUAGGGUUGGAACAACGAGAGGACGCGGGGAGUGCACCGGCAGUAAUUUCCAAAAGGUCUCGGGUCACUGCUGCCAAACGCGUAAAUAGGCCACCGUGGAGUUUUCGUCGGUAGGAGGCUGACACUACUCCACUAAUUCUCCAGAAUGCAGCAGAGUGGCCAGGAAGAUUUCUCCACGUAGAAGAAAAAAAGAGAGAAGGUGUUGAAGCAUGUAAAUAGAGCACGCACAUGUUCGCACGACAAUGUUAAAAAUCUGAGCAUAAUGGAAAUGUACGUAUAACAGAUACUCACGGGAAAAACCAACGAGUCUAAUAAUAAAAUCAAUAAAUUAGAAAAAAAGAGCUAUAGGCACAUAUCUUAUAAUAUACAGUGGCAUAAUCUGCAAUCUAUUCUAAAAUAAUUGAUCCGAGCGGAAUCUAUUAUAAAAGAAGGUUGCUGAAUAUGAUAGACAUUGUCGAAUACUAAUCGAAUAAAAUCAUUUAGUUAAUUGUCAUAGAACCUGAUAUUUCUUCGAAGAAUCAAUAAGUCUCUCGCUAAUAGCCUAAUAGAUC
rnacentral:misc_RNA from 1 species